UGCGUGAAUUUUAUCAUGGCUUUCCCGAGGUGAUGUGGAGCCAUUUUCUUGCCAGAAAUGCAUCAACGAUGCCAAAACCCUUCUUCCAAAGCUGUGUCCAUAUCAGAAGGACGCUUUUGGAUACUAUGACAUCAGCACUUUUCAAUACUCAAGUCGUUCCUUGUUGGGGAUAUAUCGGUUUCCUGAUUUUUCC